CCGCUGGUGGUCUAGUUGGUUUAUGGCACCCGGCUGUAAUGUGAAACAUCAAGCUCACCGGGUUGUCGCUGGUUCGACUCCAGCCCAGCGGA